GGAGUUGUGGCUCAGCAGUAGAGUGCUCGCCUAGCAGGCGGGAGGCACUGGGUUUGACCCUCAGCACCA
rnacentral:tRNA from 1 species